rnacentral:rRNA from 1 species
CAAUAGCGUAUAUUAAAGUUGUUGCAGUUAAAAAGCUCGUAGUCGGAUUUCGGGUCGGGCCGAGCGGUCUGCCGAUGGGUAUGCACUGUUUGGCGCGGCCUUCUUUCCGGAGACCGCGGCUACUCUUAACUGAGCGGGCGUGGGAGACGGAUCGUUUACCUUGAGAAAAUUAGAGUGUUUCAGGCAGGCUAGGCCGGAAUACAUUAGCAUGGAAUAAUGGAAUAGGACUACGGUCUCUUUGUUGGUUUGAGGGACUGCAGUAAUGAUUAAUAGGGAUAGUUGGGGGCAUUAGUAUUUAAUUGUCAGAGGUGGAAUUCUCGGAUUUGUUAAAGACUAACUUAUGCGAAAGCAUUUGCCAAGGAUGUUUUCAUUAAUCAAGAACGAAAGUUAGGGGAUCAAAGACGAUUAGAUACCAU